CGGCGCAUGUACCCCAAGCUCUCAACCCCGACUGCCCAGAAUCAAGCCCGGCUUUGAUCCAGAUUCUCCAAUCCAUUUGUUCGUUGGUGUUCUCCGGCUGGUUCUCACAACCUCUCUGUGCCACAUUUCCCUCAUCCGUGAGAAGAGGAGGCUUGCGAGGAGAAAAUGAGAGAAUUCACGGAAAGCCCAGUGCUGACCAGACGGGAGCUGCUGUCCUUAUGAGCCCAUUCAGGGUCCAGAAGGUUGGAGUGGAAGGGGUCAGAGAGAGGCGAGGCAGCCAGAGGAAAUAGAAAUGAUGUUGACAGAAGCUGUCGCUGGAAGAGAAGCUGCCCACAAAACCCACAUCAGGUGGUUCUACACCCUUGCCACAGGGGUCUCCUCUCGACUUGUCGUGAUGGAUCUUUUUCCUGGAAGUUUUUGCUCAGUCCCCUUCGCUCCCACCAGACCAUGAGCUCCGGGGUCGGCCCCGUGGUCCCAGCACCCAGCCUGGCGCAUAGGAGGGACGUAGUAACUGGGUGAACGGAUGGAUGGAUGGACGGAUGGAUGGACGGACAGACCUCCCUACCUUUCUUCUUCUUGUCGCCAGGAGAGAAAGGAAGGAAAUUUCAAACAACUCUGAGCCGUAGCUCAGCCUGGAGCCGCGGUGACCCCAGCCUCCCUGGCGGGGAGCAUCGACCCAUGGCGGGCGGGCGGGUGCGGCUGCUUUGUGGAGGCGGAGGGCACUGGGGGACCUGCGCCAAGCUGCUCCGCGGCGUCCAGACCCCCCUCCACCUCCACCCCGCUCCCGGCAGCUCUGCAGAGCCCGGGUGUCAGCAGCCAGUGGGGGGCUGCGCAGGGAAGGGGUUGGGGGUGGGGGGAGCUGUGCAGCCUCUGCAGCAGCCGGCACGGAGAGGCCCUCUUGACGCACAAAAGCAGGAAAGGCACAUUAAGCC
rnacentral:lncRNA from 1 species